rnacentral:rRNA from 1 species
GGGGAAUAUUGCACAAUGGGCGCAAGCCUGAUGCAGCCAUGCCGCGUGUAUGAAGAAGGCCUUCGGGUUGUAAAGUACUUUCAGCGGGGAGGAAGGUGUUGUGGUUAAUAACCGCAGCAAUUGACGUUACCCGCAGAAGAAGCACCGGCUAACUCCGUGCCAGCAGCCGCGGUAAUACGGAGGGUGCAAGCGUUAAUCGGAAUUACUGGGCGUAAAGCGCACGCAGGCGGUCUGUCAAGUCGGAUGUGAAAUCCCCGGGCUCAACCUGGGAACUGCAUUCGAAACUGGCAGGCUAGAGUCUUGUAGAGGGGGGUAGAAUUCCAGGUGUAGCGGUGAAAUGCGUAGAGAUCUGGAGGAAUACCGGUGGCGAAGGCGGCCCCCUGGACAAAGACUGACGCUCAGGUGCGAAAGCGUGGGGAGCAAAC